GACGAACGCUGGCGGCGUGCUUAACACAUGCAAGUCGAACGAAGAGCGACGGAAGCUUGCUUCUAUCAAUCUUAGUGGCGAACGGGUGAGUAACGCGUAAUCAACCUGCCCUUCAGAGGGGGACAACAGUUGGAAACGACUGCUAAUACCGCAUACGAUCUAAUCUCGGCAUCGAGGAUGGAUGAAAGGUGGCCUCUACAUGUAAGCUAUCACUGAAGGAGGGGAUUGCGUCUGAUUAGCUAGUUGGAGGGGUAGCGGCCCACCAAGGCGAUGAUCAGUAGCCGGUCUGAGAGGAUGAACGGCCACAUUGGGACUGAGACACGGCCCAGACUCCUACGGGAGGCAGCAGUGGGGAAUCUUCCGCAAUGGACGAAAGUCUGACGGAGCAACGCCGCGUGAGUGAUGACGGCCUUCGGGUUGUAAAGCUCUGUUAAUCGGGACGAAAGGCCUUCUUGCGAAUAGUGAGAAGGAUUGACGGUACCGGAAUAGAAAGCCACGGCUAACUACGUG
rnacentral:rRNA from 1 species